GAUGAAAGAACGUAGCAAAAUGCGAUAAGUAAUGUGAAUUGCAGAAUUCAGUGAAUCAUCGAAUCUUUGAACGCACAUUGCGCCCGCUGGUAUUCCGGCGGGCAUGCCUGUUCGAGCGUCAUUUCAACCCUCAAGCCCCCGGGUUUGGUGUUGGGGAUCGGCUCUGCCCUUCUGGGCGGUGCCGCCCCCGAAAUACAUUGGCGGUCUCGCUGCAGCCUCCAUUGCGUAGUAGCUAACACCUCGCAACUGGAACGCGGCGCGGCCAUGCCGUAAAACCCCAACUUCUGAAUGUUGACCUCGGAUCAGGUAGGAAUACCCGCUGAACUUAAGCAUAUCAAUAAGCGGAGGA
rnacentral:misc_RNA from 1 species